AUGAGAUCUUCCACUGAUUAUAGCAGUCAGGAGAAGUGGUGCUACAUGCCUCACAGCAGCACACAUCUUGGGGAAGUAGGGGCAUAUACACCUUGGGUUGCAAUUGAGCAUCCUACUACUGAAAGUGGAGCCCAGAUAGAAAAUAGAAAGUUAGGCUGUUGCAGCCUGACAGAGCGUAGAGAAAAGGAGUGCUGA
rnacentral:rRNA from 1 species